CAAACCAAUGAUUCAAAAUUUAGUUUCAGUCUAAAAAUAACAAUCGGGUUUCUAAUAUAAAACAAACUCGGUGCUUCACCAGAAUAGUUGUCCUCUUCUCAAACAUAUCUCAAUUUAUUGUUUGAAGCUAACCUAUUAUAAAGAGAUAUCCAAAAGAAGAGACCACCAAACAAAAACAAAAACAAAAAUGGCGUCCAAAGCCUUCUUCUUCUCUUUUUUUGUCGUCUCCGUCGUGUGUUUGUCCUCUCUCGCCGGAUUUUCCGCCGCCGAUGCUGAUGAUUUUGACCGUUUCCAGAUUCAGGGAUCGGUUUAUUGUGACACUUGCCGUGUCCAAUUCGUUACCCGUCUCAGCAAAUUCCUUGAAGGUAUAUUAAAUUUAUAAUAAGUAUUUUAAUAAAAAGUUAUGAAUGUGUGAUGUGAAUACAUUGAAGCCAGAAUAGUCAACAGAAAAAAAUUAACACAUCAAAACUCGUUUGAUAACAGUUACAAAAAGAAGAAAAAAAGUCGUUUGAUAACAAUUACAUAACGAAAUAGUUUUUUUAAACUUGCAUAACGAAAUAGUUUGAGAAGAUUACGUUUGCGCGCACUCUAUCUUGCAUGUUAAGAGAAUCCAUGCAGCGUCAAGCAAUGCUAUAUAGAUUUUUAAAUCCAAAUGAAAGGCAAUUGAACAAUAUCACUAGAGUAAUUAAUUACCGGGCCAAACUAUAAUGCGACCGCCCACGGCUAAUGGCCAUUCAUGCCCGCUCUCUCGGCCCGUGGUCCCCAUCCCGUCUGACGAGCGGUGCGUUAUUUUCUCCAAGGUCCGAAAGUCUUGUGUACUAACCCUGCAAUCACCACCCAACUUUUCCCCGUGCUUUGGCCUCACUCGCACGGUAUCGCUCACUUCCCGAUAGGUCAUCUAUCAUUUUACUACUCCAAUCCAAACACGCUUAACUCUGGAGUUCUAAACGGAUGUGUGACGGAAAAUGUAAGUCAACUUUGGUGACAUAGGUAGCCAAAUCAAUCUUCUUAAACAUUUCCAUAAAUCACAUCUCGGGAUGUUACGCAAAGUUUAAAAUCAAAUCAAUCGUGUAAUAUGUUCAAACAAUUAAGUAGUAGUUAGUUUGAUUUAAGUGCUACUCAUCCCUAGUCAGCUGAUGCACAACAUCGAUUCAGAAUUGAACCACAACUUUAUUUUAGUCUUUGGACUAUUCAUUGUUUCAAAUAUAUAUCUCCAACAUCAGUUUGUAAAGUUAAUAUCAACUAGACAUGAAACGAUUCAACCAUUGACAAACUCCAAAUCAUAUCAUGUUUUACUUAAAUAAAAAAAAGGUUAAUACGUAUCCUUAGACUCCAAAUAGCGACAAUAUAUAUACACAACUGGGCUAACAUGAUUUCAUAUUUGUGAAGGAGCGAAAGUGAAGUUGGAGUGCAGGAGCAGAACAAACGGAACCCUAGCGUUGACCAAAGAAGCCGUUACCGACAAAACGGGAAGCUACAUGAUGGAAGUAACUGGUGACCACGAAGAAGAAGUUUGUCAGCUUGUUUUGGUGCAAUCACCAGACAGUGGUUGCAGUGACGUCAGCGAAGAGGCAUACUUACGUAACGCCGCUAAGAUCAGUCUAACGGCAAAUGACGGUAUCGUCUCUCACGAGACACGUAUCGUUAACCCUCUCGGUUUCAUGGUUAAGACACCGUCAGCUGACUGUCCCGCUGCUUUCAAAGAGCUCGGUAUUGUCCCUGACGUUACUUUCUAAGCGAAGAAAGAAAGAAUAUAUGACGUGAGAGAUUUUACUUCUAUUUGCUUCAAUUUGAAGGGUUUUCCGUCAAGUUUAUCAAUUAUUUAUCAUUAUGAAUUAAUACCACUAGUAAUUAUUGAUGUUGAUUUUGCGGUUUUUGUUUUUGAUUAAUUUGAAUUGCAUGUGAGUCAUACUUUGUUGUUCUAUAAACAGAAAAAAAAAACAAGAGUUAACUUAUCAAUGCUGGAGAACUUAUCAAUUACUACACAAGUCAACAAAUCAUUAGAAGGGUAAUGAUUGAUCUGAAACCUAAUUAAAAUCUGAAUUUGAUACAAAGGAAAUGAUUUGAUUUUUUUCUGAAACCUUAUUAGAACUGAUAUUGUCAUUUUUGGGUCAAAUAUGUGAAUUUUAUUGAAAACUAGAGGGGGUCCGCGCAGAAUAUUGUUUUAUUGUUCAUAAAUAUGAUUUUCUGAUGAUGUGAUUAUGUUGUCAGUAUUUAUUUGUGAAAAACAUUAUUUGAUGUUUUAUGUUAUGUAGUAGGAGGUAAUAAGUUAAUAUAUUAUGUGUUUGUCUUUUUAAUAAUGUGUUGUAUUGUAUGUAUAAUACUACUUGUUAGUAGUGAAGUGAGUUUCUGAUGUAAAAUAUAUUGAAUUUCAAUAACUUUGUCUUAAGACAUUUGUUGAUUCUAAAAUUAACGGCGUCAAAAUUGUAUUUUAACUUUCACAUUUUUGAACAUUACUCUUUUUAGGUGUUUUUGCACACUCCCCCAUCUUUUGAUCUUGAGCCAUCACUAUCUAUGUAAUUCGUUUACCUCUCUCGUGCGCCUCUCUCGUGUGCAGUGCUUCUCACCAUCAUUGGGAAAAGACUCACCUACGUGCCCUUUUUUUCUUCACCUUCUUUUUCUGUAAGAUUAUAUGGUAUUUGUUAUAUAUCAGGCAUAUUAGUUCCAUGUUGUGCGGUAGUUUCUUACAGCAUUGUAUGUUAUUUCGGUCAAUAUUGGUCCUCUUUUUCUUUAGGCUUUGGCUAAGGUUAGAAACUACAUCUCGUUGGAUUGGGUCAGAGUUUAGUUGUCAUUGAUGUUGCUUUCCUCGUCGCUGGUUUGCCGUCAAUAGUCUCUGCUCGUCUUGGUUUCAAGAUCUGGUUUAUGGUGGUCUGACUUAUAUGCUCUUUUUCAUAGCUCGAGGAUGGUUCCACGGUUUGUUGAUUUCAUUUUGUCUAUUUUUAUCUCUUUUUUUCUCUCAUCUCGUUGCACCUUUCAUCGUUGAUCACGUCUCUUGCGACUCUUUUUUUCGUCAUAUUUGCUACUCCAGGUUUGGAUAUUGUUUUCUAUGUGUAUGCUUUGUGCACUUGGAAGGUUGUUUUAUAGUCUCUAGCUUAAGCUUUGGUUUCUCGGUGGUUGGCUUCCAUUCUCCUCCACUCAGAUUCUAUAUCUUCUUCUCAUGCAUCUCUUGGUGUAGGUGUGCGGAGUGAGUCUUUUGAAGCUUUGGUUUCUUCUAUUUAGAGUUUUGUGGUUCUUCGCUGGCAUGAGCACCUUGUAUGUGCUUGUUUAGUUUGUGAGGUGUUUUUUAUCUCUUAGCUGGUGGUCGUGCUUCCGGUGUUUUAGACAUGCGCCUUUUUUUUUCGUGGUGACUUUGUUCUUUCGAUGAUUAUUAUAUCUCUGACUCGUUUUUUUGGUUUUUUGCGCCGGGGCUUGAUCGCGAUCAUUUAUGUUCCGGAGAUUUCUUUAUCUCAUAUUUUAUCUUUUUACUUUUUUCUGAUAUCUGCUUGUUCUUGAAGGUUUGGACAAUGAGACAUCAUCUGAAGCAAUGUCAGCAUUGGUGGAGGGCUUAUCUUGUUGUCUUGGAGGAAGCUUACCUAGGCAGCGAGAAGCUUUGUGUCCCAAAAGACCGCAAUUAGAACAUUUAGAUGGCAGCCAUGAGUAUAACACAUCAACCAUAGUGAUAGAGCCACUCUCAUUCUUAAUAGGAACCUUAGACGGAAAAGCCUUAUUUAACUUUACUUGUACAAGGAUUUGCGUAGGGUCGAGCCAAGGUUUGCUAGUAAGCAUCGGAGCUUUAUAGGAACAGCUCUAACGGGCAUAUAUUGAUGGUAUUUGAUCUGUUGAAAAAAAAAAAAUAAUGAAAAAGAGGAAAGAGAAAUAUAUAAGUAUGUUAAACCAUCGCUUUUUAGUUACUUUUAAAAGAGAGGAUGUACACACAGUACAACUGUUUUUCUUCAUUGAUCAAAAAAAUAUUAAAUUAAAAACUAAAUUAUUAGUAAAAUAUUAUAUUUUUACUAAUCAAAAACGGGUUUCACCACCAUUGGAGCUGCUCUAACCUAAAAGCAUGAUUAAUGGUGGAGUUUUUAGCGGAAUAUAAGAAACCGUAUCUUAACUUUUAACUAAAAAAAUUAAGAACCGGUUUUUAAAUAAGAUAUUUAAGAGCCGGUUCUUAGCUUUUUUAGUUAAAAGUUAUGAGACGGGUUCUUAUAUUUUGCUAAGAAACCCACCCUAAGAACCUCCGUUAAUCAUGCUCUAAUCUAGAAAAUAAAUCCUUAAUAUUUUUUUUCUACUCUUUUAGGUCCAUUGAUUUGACCUAAUUAUAUUAAUAGCUGCGGUUUCUUUCUACCAAUGCUAUAUUUAAGCUUUAAUAAAAUAAACAUUCUUAUAUUCAAAACCUAUUGAAACUAAUUUUAAAUUUACAAACCAAUGAUUCAAAAUUUAGUUUCAGUCUAAAAAUAACAAUCGGGUUUCUAAUAUAAAACAAACUCGGUGCUUCACCAGAAUAGUUGUCCUCUUCUCAAACAUAUCUCAAUUUAUUGUUUGAAGCUAACCUAUUAUAAAGAGAUAUCCAAAAGAAGAGACCACCAAACAAAAACAAAAACAAAAAUGGCGUCCAAAGCCUUCUUCUUCUCUUUUUUUGUCGUCUCCGUCGUGUGUUUGUCCUCUCUCGCCGGAUUUUCCGCCGCCGAUGCUGAUGAUUUUGACCGUUUCCAGAUUCAGGGAUCGGUUUAUUGUGACACUUGCCGUGUCCAAUUCGUUACCCG
rnacentral:lncRNA from 1 species